UAAAUCUUAAAAAAAUCCUAAUCAAAUUUUAAAAAAAUCUUAGAAAAAUUCUAAUUAAAUUCUAUAAAAAUUCUAAUAAAAUCUUAAACAAAUCAUAAUCAAAUCCUAAACAAAUCUUUAAAAAAUUCUAAUCAAAUCCUUAAAAAAUCCUAAUCAAAUCCUACAAAAAUCUUAAAUAAAUCCUAAUCAAAUCUUAGAUAAAUCUUUAAAAAAUCUUAAUCAAAUCUUAAAAAAUCCUAUACAAAUUCUAAUUAUAUUCUAAAAAAACUUCAAUUAAAUCCUAAAAAAAUCAUAAUCAAAUCCUAAAAAAAUUCUAAACAAAUCCUAAAUCUUAAAUAAAUUC
rnacentral:lncRNA from 1 species